CCACCGUCCCCAAACCCAAGCGAAUACGAGCUUGGAAUGCCAUUCUUGCUGAGUCGAAUCAAAGAUGGAUUUGAAGACCGAAAUCAACUUGGAGAUGGGAUUGAGGAUAGAGUCGCAACUACAUUCUUGCCCAAGGAGGAUUUCAGAGCCUGCAAUUGAGAUUUCUGCACACAAACUGGGUGAGGAUUUCAUCCUUCAUUUCACUCCUUUGUUUGAUUUGUGUACAACAAACUGAAAUUUUCUUCUCGGUCCUUCUGAUCGGCGACUCGGGGAAUUGAAUAUUGUUUUCUGGUGUUGUGAGGUCGAACAAGGCAAAGGUACACUUUGGGCUGCGAAAGCAAUACUCCUGCCUUUGACUUUUCAGGGGAAACUUUACAUCUCAUCGUGGUCAGGUAAUCAAAGCCUUUGGACUCCCAAUAUUGCUUUCGUUUUGGUGCGUCUGGUUUGGAAGCUCAAGUCGGACCAGGUGAUAGUAGUCACAGCAUUCUAAAGGUGGAUGCGAGAAGAGCAACUAUAGUGCAGCCAAGUAUCAGAACUCCGGGAUUCAAACUCAAGGCCAAAACUUGAGGAUAAUAUCGGCACCCUAAGGCACGCCGUAUCAAAGUUCUGAAACAGUAUUGGCACCAUAAGGCACCGCCACCGGAGCUUUGAAAGCAGUUUCGGCACCCCAAGGCACGCCGAAUGAAGCUCUGAAACAGUAUUGGCACCUAAAGGUACCGCCACUGGAGCUUUGAAAGUGGUAAAACCAUAAAGAGAUGCAGACGGAUCCUCCACCUUUUAUUCCUAUGGAGCACGCUGCGGCUUCCUCUGUCCCCUUUGCUUUCCUUCCUCCUCUUUUUUUUGUCUUUAUGCAGUGCUUUUUAUAUUGCCACGAUCAUGAGUUUGGUUUGUAUAAAACAUAGAGUUUUAGAGUUCAACUUGGAGUGAACUACUUGGGGAACUUGUAUUCCGUGAAGACUACUACUCUUAUUUUGUAGUUGCUUUGUAAUCUAUAUUUUGACAAAACAAGAAGUCUGACGUCUUGUGAAAUCCAAUAGACCAGCUUAAUGACU